ensembl:lncRNA
AGCACACCUUCAUUUGAUUUGGGUUCCUUUUUUCUUUAAUCCUUGUCGAUCCAUUAAAUCUGUGGCAUAAAAUGGCCCAGGUGUCUUCCUCAUUUUUGACAGUCGUGUUGUCUGUCUUUUUAUCCUCCAGUACAUUACUAAAUUCCUCCAUCAGUUCCGACGAGGUUUUCAUAAGCGGAGAAAUGUGAACAACUUUAACAAGCCAUGAUCAGAGGGAAACACAUACCCUUUGACCCUAGAGAAGGUUCUCCUUUUCACUUCGGUGGCUUCAGCCAUUCCUCGGCUGGGAUUGCCAGUGGAGCCACAUCCAGUUCUUACACACACAAGAGAAUAAGGCUGCCAGGAUCUUCCCAGAAGCAGAUACAUGCAGCAUUGUUUUAAGGCUACCAAUUCACCCAACCCUACGCAGCCUUCAGGGAGGAAAUGGAGAGUUGAAUUCUACAGUCACCAACAUUAGGUGUCAUUGUCAAAGACUCCAGCCACUCAAGUCAUAGACUGUUCUCUCUGCUACCGCACAGCAAGUGGUACCGGUGCGCCAAGUCUAGGUCAAAGAGGCUUCUGAACAGCUUCUACCCCUAAUCAAACGGCUACCCAGACUAUUUCCAUUGACCCCCCCCUCUCUCUCUUUUAUGCUGCUGCUACUUUGUUAUUAUCUAUGCAUAGUCACUUUAAUAUCACUUUAUCUCUACCUACAUGUAUAUAUUACCUCAACUAACCGGUGCCCCAGUACAUUGACUCUGUACCAGUACCCCCUGUAUAUAGCCUCGCUAUUGUUAUUUUACUGCUGCUCUAAUUAUUAUUGUUAUUUAAUUUUUUUGUAUUUUUCUUAACUACAUUGUUGCGCAUGUGACAAAUAACAUUUGAUUUAAAGGGAAUUCAUUUAAGGGGAAUUAUCCAAAACGUUUAUUGCAUGACCACCUAGUAAGUUCAGAAUACUGCAGCCAAUGUUAAUUGGUGAUGUGUGCCAAAAUGAUUGAUAUUAUGAAAGUUUCCGACAAGAUUGGCCAUCAGCAAAAAAACAGUUGUG